GGGACUGAGCUGUUUCGAGAAGACUGAGGACCGCUUUUGUGAGGCUUCGGCUUUGCUCUAGUGGAAGCCAGUUUAAUCGCAAUGGCUUGAACCGGGCAAAAGUCGUAACAAGGUACCUGUAGGUGAACCUGCAGGUGGAUCAUCGCCAUUCCUUUACGGAGGAUUCCGCUAUACUUUUAGCAAGGCGAUAGCCGGUCUUGGUUGCCUGUUUGCAUCACGGUCCUUAGACUGAGAUGUACCAAGACUAGCACCCCCAAAUUUAAGCUCUCCAGAGGUGUUCUGCUCUUGACUAGAUCGUUUGAAGAGUUGCGGUUUACUAGUCGAGUCCGAUGGCUUUAGUCGUUGGUUGAACUCAAAGACACUGCCUGAGUGUCGCCUCACACGUUAUAUCUGCUGGUGUAAUUUGCCUGUUCACCUCAAUGAAUUGACGGUCCUUUCGGGGGCUGUCGGUCGGCAGCUCUGUAACAACCAUUCCAUUAUAUGUUUACGUUUGUCAACUGUUUCUUUAUUGAAAUAGUUAAUUCUGACAAGCUUUAGCGAUGGAUCGGUCGAUUCCCUUAACGAUGAAAAACGCAGCAAAAUGCGUUAUUUGCCAUGAAUUGCAGACACAAUGAAUGGUAAAAUUUUGAACGCACAGCACCGUUGGGUUUUCCCUUCGGUACGUCUGGUUCAGGGUUGUUAUAUAUAUACUAUCAAGCAUGCCUGUCACUUGAUUUGUCGGGGAGCUAUCAGUCUUCGGACGGGUACCUUCUUUAGCUUCGAAAUAUAGAGCAACAUUCAUUAGCUUCGGUUAAUGUUCUCAAGGUAGACAGCCAGUUUUGGCUCGUCAACUACACUCGUGCAUUUGAUAGUAGUUGUGAGCGGCCUGUAUGAAACUGACUGUUAGAUGCCUUUGUUCUACAACCUGAACUCAGUCGUGAUUACCCGCUCAACUUAAGCAUAUCACUCAGCGGAGGAAAA
rnacentral:rRNA from 1 species